ACCUUUCUGCAGGAGGCACAGGUACCCUUCAUCUCCCUGGAUCGCUGCUCCAGCUCUAACGUGCACGGAGACGCCAUCCUGCCUGGGAUGCUUUGUGCUGGCUUCUUGGAGGGAGGCGCCGAUGCCUGUCAGGUCAGCCCUGGGGUCCUGGUUGGUACCUUGCCCCUCUGCCUGUCAACCAUAGGGCAAGAGCCAUGUGCUGCCUGUUCCCCACCCAGGGUGACUCCGGGGGUCCUCUGGUAUGUGAUGAAGGAGUUACAGAGCGUCAGCUCACCCUGCGAGGAGUCAUCAGCUGGGGCUCCGGCUGUGGUGACCGGAACAAGCCCGGGGUCUACACUGACGUGGCCAAUUACCUGGAUUGGAUCCAGGAGCAUACUGCUUUCUAAGUAACCAGGGUCGGUCCUUGCGAAGCUAGUGGCUGGGCCCCAGGGACACAGAAACUCAAUAAAGUGCUUUGAAAACGUU
rnacentral:lncRNA from 1 species